AUUGAACGCUGGCGGCAGGCCUAACACAUGCAAGUCGAACGAGAGGCGGACGGGUGCGUAAUGUAUGGGAAACUGCCUUAUGGAGGGGGAUAACUACUGGAAACGGUAGCUAAUACCGCAUACCAUCGGAUGAUCCCAGAUGGGAUUAGCUAUUAGGUGGGGUAAGGGCUCACCUAGGCCACGAUCCCUAGCUGGUCUGAGAGGAUGACCGGCCACACUGGAACUGAGACACGGUCCAUAGUCCUACGGGAGGCAGCAGUGGGGAAGAUUGCACGAUGGGCGCAAGCCUGAUGCAGCCAUGCCGCGUGUAUUAAGAAGGCCUUAGGGUUGUAAAGUACUUUCAGCGGGGAGGCGUUAGCCGCAGAAGAAGCACCGGCUAACUCCGUGCCAGCAGCCGCGGUAAUAC
rnacentral:rRNA from 1 species